AAUAUUGGACAAUGGGCGCAAGCCUGAUCCAGCCAUGCCGCGUGAGUGAUGAAGGCCCUAGGGUUGUAAAGCUCUUUCAACGGUGAAGAUAAUGACGGUAACCGUAGAAGAAGCCCCGGCUAACUUCGUGCCAGCAGCCGCGGUAAUACGAAGGGGGCUAGCGUUGUUCGGAAUAACUGGGCGUAAAGCGCACGUAGGCGGAUUGGAAAGUUAGAGGUGAAAUCCCUGGGCUCAACCCAGGAACUGCCUUUAAAACUAUCAGUCUAGAGUUCGAGAGAGGUGAGUGGAAUUCCGAGUGUAGAGGUGAAAUUCGUAGAUAUUCGGAGGAACACCAGUGGCGAAGGCGGCUCACUGGCUCGAUACUGACGCUGAGGUGCGAAAGUGUGGGGAGCAAACAGGAUUAGAUACCCUGGUAGUCCACACCGUA
rnacentral:rRNA from 1 species